AUGCAAUUGGUUAGACAAGCCAUAGGAUCCCCAUGGGGUUUAACCAUAUGCACCGAUGCUGGGCAACCACUGAUGACAGGUGUGAAAGAAGUGUUCCCAGAGGUUGAACAUAGGAAAUGUAUGUUUCACUCGGUGUCCAACUUCAAGAAGAAGUUUCAUGGAAAGGUGUUUGAUGACCAUCUUUGGGCUGUUGCUUACUCAUGGAACCCAUGUAUAUUUGAGAAAAAUUGGGUUGCAAUGGAUAGAGCAAAGCCAGCGGCAACUGCAUAUCUUAGGAGGUGGCACACUAGGUUGUGGUCUAGGAGUCAGUUCUCAACAAUUUCCAAGGUGGAAAAUGUUACAAACAACUUGGUUGGGUGCUUCAAUAAUUGGAUUACGCACCACAAGUCCUUGAACUUGGACGAGUUCUUUGAUAAGGUUAGGCAAAUGAUUAUGAUCAUGUGGAACCGAAGGAGGAAGGUAGCAAGGAAGUUAGUUGGGUUGAUUUUUCCCCACAUAACUAAGAAUUUGAAUGCGAGCAGAGACUUAAACUUGGAGGUGGUAGAAAGCUCAGAUGAAGUUGCUGAAGUGACAACAUUGGGAGGCAACGCUUUUAGGUUUGUGGCCAACUUGCUUGACAGGACAUGUUCUUGUAGACAAUGGCAAGUUUCUGGCUAUCCUUGCAAACAUGGUCUAGCAUUUAUCACAUCUCUUAUCAAUGCCCACAUACAUAAUUAUGUGGACUUGUGCUACUCCAUUGACAAAUUUAGAGCAGCAUAUGGCCAACUAAUCCCUGCCAUGGUUGACAAGAACCAAUGGCCUAAAUAUGACCAUGGAAUCUUCAUGUUUCCACCACUACUAAAAUCCACAGCGGGUAGGCAUAAAACUGAGAGGUACAAAGGCUGCGGUGAGAAGAAAAGAAAAUGCGGCCAACACUUAUGCCCUAUUUGCAAGGACUAUGGGCAUCAUUGGCAUAAAUGCAAGAAGGGUAACCCAGAUGACAUUGCUGCUAUUUUAGCUGUGAGAGGACCACCAAAGAAGAGGACAAAGACCACCAAAUCAGCCUAG
rnacentral:rRNA from 1 species